rnacentral:rRNA from 1 species
UACGAGCGGCCCAAACGUUAUUCGGAAUUACUGGGCUUAAAGAGUUCGUAGGCGGCAUUGCAAGUAGGGUGUGAAAGCCCUCGGCUCAACCGAGGAAUUGCGCUCUAAACUGCAGUGCUCGAGGAAGCUAGAGGUGAGCAGAACAGAUGGUGGAGCGGUGAAAUGCGUUGAUAUCAUCUGGAAUACCGGAGGCGAAGGCGGCUCACUGGGGCUUUUCUGACGCUGAGGAACGAAAGCCAGGGUAGCGAACGGG